GAUGAACGCUAGCUACAGGCUUAACACAUGCAAGUCGAGGGGUAACGAGAGGAAAGCUUGCUUUCCUUGUCGACGACCGGCGCACGGGUGAGUAACGCGUAUCCAACCUGCCCCCAACUAGGGAAUAACCUUGCGAAAGUAAGACUAAUACCCUAUAAUUUCCUCAGAUGUCAUCGGACGAAGGAUAAAGAUUUAUCAGUUGUGGAUGGGUAUGCGUCUGAUUAGCGUGUUGGCGGGGUUACGGCACACCAAGGCAACGAUCAGUAGGGGUUCUGAGAGGAAGGGCCCCCACAUUGGAACUGAGAGACGGUCCAAAGUCCUACGGGAGGCAGCAGUGAGGAAUAUUGGUCAAUGGGCGGAAGCCUGAACCAGCCAAGUAGCGUGCAGGAUGACGGCCCUAUGGGUUGUAAACUGCUUUUAUACAGGAAUAAAGUUAGCCACGUGUGGUUAUUUGUAGGUACUGUAUGAAUAAGGACCGGCUAAUUCCGUGCCAGCAGCCGCCGUAA
rnacentral:rRNA from 1 species